UACGUAGGGUGCGAGCGUUGUCCGGAAUUACUGGGCGUAAAGGGCGCGUAGGCGGCCUUCUAAGUCGAACGUGAAAUCCCCGGGCUCAACCCGGGAACUGCGUCCGAUACUGGCAGGCUUGAAUCCGGGAGAGGGAUGUGGAAUUCCAGGUGUAGCGGUGAAAUGCGUAGAUAUCUGGAGGAACACCGGUGGCGAAGGCGACAUCCUGGACCGGUAUUGACGCUGAGGCGCGAAAGCGUGGGGAGCAAACAGG
rnacentral:rRNA from 1 species